GAGAGGGAUUCUGCAGCAGUUCUCAAAGGCUAGAUUUGGGUGGUAUUGCUGCAUAUGCGCUGAUUCUUCAGCUUGUUGUCUCUAACUGAGGAAGCAUUGAUUGGGAACUACUCAUUCAGAAAAUUAAAAG